CCGCCGGACCUGACUGCUAUCGGAUUGAUACUAANCCAUGCGAGUCUUUGUAGUAAUACAAGGCAGACGGCUCAGUAACACGUAGUCAAUCUACCCUAUAGACGGGAAUAACCUCGGGAAACUGAGAAUAAUACCCGAUAGGCCAUUAUGCCUGGAAUGGUUUAUGGCUCAAAUGAUUUAUCGCUGUAGGAUGGGACUGCGGUCUAUCAGCUUGUUGGUGAGGUAAUGGCCCACCAAGGCUAUAACAGAUACGGGCUCUGAGAGGAGAAGCCCGGAGAUGGGUACUGAGACACGGACCCAGGCCCUAUGGGGCGCAGCAGGCGAGAAAACUUUGCAAUGUGCGAAAGCACGACAAGGUUAAUCCGAGUGUUUUCUGCUAAAGAAAUCUUUUGUCAGUCCUAAAAACACUGAUGAAUAAGGGGUGGGCAAGUUCUGGUGUCAGCCGCCGCGGUAAAACCAGCACCUCAAGUGGUCAGGAGGAUUAUUGGGCCUAAAGCAUCC
rnacentral:rRNA from 1 species